rnacentral:piRNA from 1 species
UUUUGUCCAAUGAAAACGCCCCAUCAG